AGAGUUUGAUCCUGGCUCAGAACGAACGCUGGCGGCGUGCUUAACACAUGCAAGUCGAACGCGAAAGGGACUUCGGUCCUGAGUAAAGUGGCGCACGGGUGAGUAACGCGUAGAUAACCUGUCUUUAUGUCUGGAAUAAUACGCCGAAAGGGGUACUAAUACCGGAUACUCUUGCUUUAUAUAAGUUUUGCAAGCAAAGGUGGCCUCUGACGUAAGCUACUGCAUAAAGAGGGGUCUGCGUACCAUUAGCUUGUAGGUGGGGUAAUGGCCUACCUAGGCAACGAUGGGUAGCUGGUCUGAGAGGAUGAUCAGCCACACUGGAACUGGUACACGGUCCAGACUCCUACGGGAGGCAGCAGUGAGGAAUUUUGCGCAAUGGGGGAAACCCUGACGCAGCAACGCCGCGUGAGUGAUGAAGGCUUUCGAGUCGUAAAGCUCUGUCAAGUGGGAAGAAGUCAUGCAUGGCCAAUAUCCAUGUAUGUUGACGGUACCACUGAAGGAAGCACCGGCUAACUCCGUGCCAGCAGCCGCGGUAAUA
rnacentral:rRNA from 1 species